UACAAUAUAUUUGAAAAUAUGGCUGUAUAACAACAACAUCGGCAUAUUUACAUAUUUAACCAUGUCCAUGAUAUUCCAAGUCAAUUUUCUCGUGAGCUCACAAAUCAAUUAAAAAUCGUUUCACGAAAUCGACACACGCUAACAGUACGUAGAUGGUCAAGCUUUUUAGGGUAGUGCUGGACUUCUCUAUGGAGAUGCAAGACACCACCAUAGAUAUCUUAUAUAGACUAGAUAGCGCAUCUCUUUUAGUAAAAUUGAAGCCAAGAAUAUUCCAGCGGUUACCCCAAUUUGAAUAGAUGGCGGCCAUGUUGGUGUUACCCACUCGCUAAUAAACGCUUAAAAAACAAGAAUAACUUUCAUCUUUUGAAUAGUUUAAAAAUGUAUUUGGAAUAGGUUUACCUUAAUAUUUAAGUUCCGUGUUUAAGAAAUAGAAAACAUACGAGUCUUCUCA
rnacentral:lncRNA from 1 species